rnacentral:rRNA from 1 species
UACAGAGGGUGCGAGCGUUGUCCGGAAUCACUGGGCGUAAAGGGCGCGUAGGUGGCGGGAUAAGUGAGUGGUGAAAGCUCGGGGCUCAACCCCGAGUCUGCCAUGCAAACUGUCUUGCUCGAGCGUAGUAGAGGCAGGUGGAAUUCCGGGUGUAGCGGUGGAAUGCGUAGAGAUCCGGAAGAACACCGGUGGCGAAGGCGGCCUGCUGGGCUACUGCUGACACUGAUGCGCGACAGCGUGGGGAGCAAACAGG